CGGGCGACGCAGGCGUUCUGGUCAGCGACGCGGCCUCCCCGCCGCCCUCGGGCUGUGACGUUCCGGGAAGCCGGCCUUCCGGAGGCGGCGCAGCGGUGCCAAGGGCGCAGGGAGCGGCCAGGCGCAGCAGGCGGCCGCGCGGCGGGGUGCCCGGCCAGGCGCUUCCAGGCGGCGCUGCAGGGUUAAAGCCCAGAAAGGGCCGGGCUGAACGUGUCCUCAGACUGGGAGGUGUCAGACUCCGAUCCUCCUCAUUGCCCCCGCAAGUAUAUCCGGAGGAUUCCUCCAAUCGCUCUCUCCUGGAAGACCACUCCCAGCACCCUACUAGAUGGAGACAUUGAGGCUCCAGGAGAGGAAGCCACUGCCCCAGGAGCCUAGAUCUGUUGGUUCUUUGCCUCUGCAUCACCUAGUUUCAAAUGACCCAAGCCACCUCCUGCCUCCUGGCCCUUGGGCAUCUUCCCUCCCCUGCUUCAGACCCUGGACCCUUCAGCCGCAGAGCCCAGGGGGUCCCUGUCCCUGUCCCUGUCCUGGGACACCACGCUCAGAUACCCUGGGUGGCUAAAGGAAGCAGGGCUUGGGGCUUUCUGCAGGAACAGCCAUCACACCCCAGAGCUUUCCUAGAGUGGUCGUAGGCUGAGUAGUACCUCCUCCACACCCACCCUGAACACACACACACCCAAACAGGCUGCAGGGUGUGGUUUGGAUAAAAGGAAGACAUGGCUCAAGGUUCCAGGCUCCCUGCUGGUUUUUCAAGGCAAUGAGCUGCCCCUCCCUAUGAGUAUGCCAGCACAAGCUCAUGACCCUGUCCAGCCACAGUGCCCCAGGGGUCCCUGCAGCCACCUUGCUUCUUGCCCAGAACUCAAUUCCAGCCUUCGAGGGACUCAGAGAGCGGGGAUGUUUCUCAGGGAUCUCCCAGUGGAAAUGCUGUCAGCAGCGGCCAUCAGUGGAUGAGGCUCCCCUCCCCCGGGGCUUCCUACUUCAGACUCAGACUCCCAUGUGGCAGAGGAGGGGGGUCCCCUCCCCACUGCACAGUGAGCCACACCGGGCCAUGGACUUGAGGUUCGCCUCCCUUCCCACCCAUCCCCUGCUUGACUGACACCCUUCUGCCUGGAGCAUCAUGGGAAUUAAGGAGUAGGCCACUGCCCUGCCCCUCAGAGAAGAGAGGGGAUCCGAAGAGGAGCUAAGGGCUCCCCGUGGCAUGGCCAUCUCUGGCCCAGGGGAUCUGGGGAAGGUGUGGGUGUGGAGAGUUAGCGGAAGGCACAGUAACUCUGGUUGGUGUGACCCCAAGCGUGAUAGUGGGUUUGGGGGCGUGGCUGGCCCUAUGAGCUCAUGGCCUCAGAGGACAGAGACGGCCCCUCCCCUCCAGCUCCAGGGAGGGUGGGAUGGGGUGCAGCUUCCUGUCAAGGACAGACAUGGUCUGAGAGGACCCCAGUCCCUGCCUGGAAGCAAACACUGGUCAGACAGAUACAAGGGACAUUUAGACAACAAAGCCAGCCAUGCUACCAUGAGGACUCAGCCCUCAGCCCUCACCGAGGACAAACCAUGUGGUCAUGGCCACCAGAGAGGAGUGAGGGGAGGAAAGGUGGGGAACUCCAUCUCCAAACUUGGCAUGGUCUCAGCGUUGUCGGAGGACUUUGAGGGAAGGAGGAGGAGAGAAGGACGACGACGACGACGGCCAACGACGACGACAACGCAGGGUGUGUGCUGCGCUGCGGCCCUUGCCUCUGCCCUGCCACUGGCUCCCUGUUGCAGUGCCUGGUCUCCCGCCCUGCCUCUCCCAUCCCUACCCGCAGCCCCAUCCUGCCCAUCUGCGAGGAGCUGUCCCAUAUGUGUGUCCCCUCCACCCGAUCCCAUUCUCCUUCCCUGUUGGUCAGGGCCCAGGUGCUCCUGCUGCCCCAAGGAGCCCGGCGGCAGGAGGCAUGGACGUGGGGGCUGUCGGGCUGGUCUCGAGUGCUCUGGCGCAGCAGGCCUCGGGGUGGGAAGACCUCGCUGCUGCCCCUCGAGAGGGCCCCGCCUUGGUGAGUGCAGCCUGGAGAUGAAGCUGAGGACAGAGGCCACACUGCACCCCCAGCCCAGCCCUGCCCUGCACUGCACCCCUCACACCUUGCCCUCCUUGACAUCCGCCUCUUUGGGGAACCCUCCCUGGCCAGGUUCCCACCAGAAGACCCCCCAAGGCCAGGCCUCAGGCCUCCCCUUCAAGACUGACAGUCUCCCAGGGCCUGUGACAGCCAAGCCCCACUACGCUGUGGCCUCUCAUUGCCCACAACUGCACCAAGAGUUCAGCUCUCUGAGGUGGCCAGGUGCCCCCUGCUAGGGGGCCCUCCCACGGCCCUAGUGCCCGGAACAGUCCCUUUCUCCAAAAUAAAUAUUUUUGUUAGACCAGCAA
rnacentral:lncRNA from 1 species